AGGGGUGUAGCUCAACGGGUAGAGCGCCCGGUUUCCACGCCGGGGGACGCCGUGUUCGAGUCCGGCCACCCCUG
rnacentral:tRNA from 1 species